rnacentral:rRNA from 1 species
CCUACGGGCGGCAGCAGUGGGGAAUAUUGCACAAUGGGCGCAAGCCUGAUGCAGCCAUGCCGCGUGUGUGAAGAAGGCCUUCGGGUUGUAAAGCACUUUCAGCGGGGAGGAAGGCGUUAAGGUUAAUAACCUUGUCGAUUGACGUUACCCGCAGAAGAAGCACCGGCUAACUCCGUGGCCAGCAGCCGCGGUAAUUCGGAGGGUGCAAGCGUUAAUCGGAAUUACUGGGCGUAAAGCGCACGCAGGCGGUCUGUCAAGUCGGAUGUGAAAUCCCCGGGCUCAACCUGGGAACUGCAUUCGAAACUGGCAGGCUAGAGUCUUGUAGAGGGGGGUAGAAUUCCAGGUGUAGCGGUGAAAUGCGUAGAGAUCUGGAGGAAUACCGGUGGCGAAGGCGGCCCCCUGGACAAAGACUGACGCUCAGGUGCGAAAGCGUGGGGAGCAAACAGGAUUAGAUACCCUGGUAGUC